rnacentral:tRNA from 1 species
UUCCUGAUGGUCCAGUGGUUAAGACUCUGCUCUUCCAUUGCAAGAGGCUCAGGUUUGAUUCCUGGUUGGGGAA